AACGAACGCUGGCGGCAUGCCUAACACAUGCAAGUCGAACGAGACCUUCGGGUCUAGUGGCGCACGGGCGCGUAACGCGUGGGAACCUGCCCUUAGGUUCGGAAUAACUCCCCGAAAGGGGUGCUAAUACCGGAUAAUGUCUUCGGACCAAAGAUGUAUCGCGUUUGGCUGGGCCCGCGUUGGAUUAGCUAGUUGGUAGGGUAAAAGCCUACCAAGGCGACGAUCCAUAGCUGGUCUGAGAGGAUGCUCAGCCACACUGGGACUGAGACACGGCCCAGAAUCCGACGCGAGGCAGCAGUAGGGAAUAUUGGAGAAGGGGCGCAAGCCUGAUCCAGCAAUGCGGCGUGAGUGAUGAAGGCCUUAGGGUUGUAAAGCUCUUUUACACGGGAUGAUAAUGACAGUACCGGGAGAAUAAGCUCCGGCUAACUACGUG
rnacentral:rRNA from 1 species